rnacentral:misc_RNA from 1 species
GAUGAAGAACGUAGCGAAAUGCGAUACGUAAUGUGAAUUGCAGAAUUCAGUGAAUCAUCGAGUCUUUGAACGCACAUUGCGCCCCCUGGUAUUCCGGGGGGCAUGCCUGUCCGAGCGUCAUUUCAACCCUCAAGCACAGCUUGGUCUUGGGCUUCGCCGCUAACCCGGCGGGUCUUAAAAUCAGUGGCGGUGCCGUCGGGCCCUGAGCGCAGUAAUCUCUCUCGCUAUAGGGUCCCGGCGGAUGCUGGCCAGUAACCCCCAAUUUUCUAUGGUUGACCUCGGAUCAGGUAGGGAUACCCGCUGAACUUAAGCAUAUCAAUAAGCGGAGGA